rnacentral:rRNA from 1 species
UACGGAAGGGGCAAGCGUUGUUCGGAAUCAUUGGGCGUAAAGGGCGCGUAGGUGGUUCUGUAUGUCUACCGUGAAAGCAUACAGCUGAACUGUAUUUUGUCGGUAGAAACUGCAGGACUUGAGGCUGGGAGGGGCUGGUGGAAUUCCCUGUGUAGCGGUGAAAUGCGUAGAGAUGGGGGAGAACACUCGUGGCGAAGGCGGCCAGCUAGACCAGUUCUGACACUGAGGCGCGACAGCGUGGGGAGCAAACAGG